ensembl:lncRNA
AUGAGGGCCGCCCUUGACCUGCCCCCUUCCCAGUGCCCUGUCAGGGCAAAGCAGGGGUCACCUGUGUGUGGGGAGGGCUCCGUGUGUCCCUCGGGAUGGUGCGUGUACAUGGCGGGGAGGGCUCCGUGUGUCCCUCGGGGUGGUGCGUGUACACGGUGGGGAGGGCUCCGUGUGUCCCUCGGGGUGGAGCGGGGUGGUACGUGUACAUGGCGGGGAGGGCUCCGUGUGUCCCUCAGGGUGGUGCGUGUACAUGGCGGGGAGGGCUCCGUGUGUCCCUCGGGGUGGUGCGUGUACAUGGCGGGGAGGGCUCCGUGUGUCCCUCGGGGUGGUGCGUGUACACGGUGGGGAGGGCUCCGUGUGUCCCUCGGGGUGGAGCGGGGUGGUACGUGUACACGGCGGGGAGGGCUCCGUGUGUCCCUCAGGGUGGUGCGUGUACACGGUGGGGAGGGCUCCGUGUGUCCCUCGGGGUGGUACGUGUACACGGCGGGGAGGGCUCCGUGUGUCCCUCGGGGUGGUACGUGUACACGGCGGGGAGGGCUCCGUGUGUCCCUCGGGGUGGUACGUGUACACGGCGGGGAGGGCUCCGUGUGUCCCUCGGGGUGGUACGUGUACACGGCGGGGAGGGCUCCGUGUGUCCCUCGGGGUGGUGCGUGUACACGGCGGGGAGGGCUCCGUGUGUCCCUCGGGGUGGUGCGUGUACACGGCGGGGAGGGCUCCGUGUGUCCCUCGGGGUGGUGCGUGUACACGGCGGGGAGGGCUCCGUGUGUCCCUCGGGGUGGUGCGUGUACACGGCGGGGAGGGCUCCGUGUGUCCCUCGGGGUGGUGCGUGUACACGGCGGGGAGGGCUCCGUGUGUCCCUCGGGGUGGUGCGUGUACACGGUGGGGAGGGCUCCGUGUGUCCCUCGGGGUGGAGCGGGGUGGUACGUGUACACGGUGGGGAGGGCUCCGUGUGUCCCUCGGGGUGGAGUGGGGUGGUAUGUGUACACGGUGGGGAGGGCUCCGUGUGUCCCUCGGGGUGGUGCGUGUACACGGCGGGGAGGGCUCCGUGUGUCCCUCGGGGUGGAGCGGGGUGGUACGUGUACACGGUGGGGAGGGCUCCGUGUGUCCCUCGGGGUGGAGCGGGGUGGUGCGUGUACACGGCGGGGAGGGCUCCGUGUGUCCCUCGGGGUGGAGCGGGGUGGUACGUGUACACGGUGGGGAGGGCUCCGUGUGUCCCUCGGGGUGGAGUGGGGUGGUAUGUGUACACGGCGGGGAGGGCUCCGUGUGUCCCUCGGGGUGGUGCGUGUACACGGCGGGGAGGGCUCCGUGUGUCCCUCGGGGUGGUGCGUGUACACGGUGGGGAGGGCUCCGUGUGUCCCUCGGGGUGGAGCGGGGUGGUACGUGUACACGGUGGGGAGGGCUCCGUGUGUCCCUCGGGGUGGAGUGGGGUGGUAUGUGUACACGGUGGGGAGGGCUCCGUGUGUCCCUCGGGGUGGAGCGGGGUGGUACGUGUACACGGUGGGGAGGGCUCCGUGUGUCCCUCGGGGUGGAGUGGGGUGGUAUGUGUACACGGUGGGGAGGGCUCCGUGUGGAGCGGGGUGGUGCGUGUACACUGCGGGGAGGGCUCUGUGUGUCCCUCGGGGUGGAGCGGGGUGGUGUGUGUACACGGCGGGGAGGGCUCCGUGUGUCCCUCGGGGUGGAGCGGGCUGGUGCGUGCACACGGCGGGGAGGGCUCCGUGUCCCCCUCGGGGUGGAGUGGGCUGGUGCGUGCACAUGGCGGGGAGGGCUCCGUGUGUCCCUCGGGGUGGAGUGGGCUGGUGCGUGCACAUGGCGGGGAGGGCUCCGUGUGUCCCUCGGGGUGGAGCGGGGUGGUGCGUGUACACGCGGGGAGGGCUCCGUGUGUCCCUCGGGGUGGAGCGGGCUGGUGCGUGCACAUGGCGGGGAGGGCUCCGUGUGUCCCUCGGGGUGGAGUGGGCUGGUGCGUGCACAUGGCGGGGAGGGCUCCGUAUGAGCCCCUGCCUGCCUUCCUGCAGCGUGUCACCGCAUCCUCUCUCCCACGGCUCUCAUCCAUCUCUAGCCUGGGGGCCUGCUCGCCGUACACCUUGGGGGUCUGCUUGCAACAGCAGACGGGAGCUGCCUGGAGCUUGGGCCCUACAGCAGCCAGCCGUGGCAGGGGUAGCCCCAGGGAUGCCGACCCAUGGGAGAGCCUGGCAGGAGGCCAGGUUGAAAGAGAAAGAGCCAUGUCGUGUCCCAGACACCUCGGCCUGA